GACGAAGGAUGCAAGCGUUAUCCGGAUUCAUUGGGUUUAAAGGGAGCGUAGGUGGCCUUAUAAGUCAGUGGCGAAAUCUCGCAGCUUAACUGCGAAAUUGCCAUUGAUACUGUAGGGCUUGAGUAUAGUUGCCGUUGGCGGAAUAUGACAUGUAGUGGUGAAAUACAUAGAGAUGUCAUAGAACACCGAUUGCGAAGGCAGCUAACGAAACUAUAACUGACACUGAGGCUCGAAAGUGCGGGGAUCAAACAGG
rnacentral:rRNA from 1 species